rnacentral:rRNA from 1 species
CGGUGCUUGCAUCGGGGAUUAGUGGCGAACGGGUGAGUAACACGUGAGUAACCUGCCCUUGACUCUGGGAUAAGCCUGGGAAACUGGGUCUAAUACCGGAUAUGACCUUCCAUCGCAUGGUGGUUGGUGGAAAGCUUUUGUGGUUUUGGAUGGACUCGCGGCCUAUCAGCUUGUUGGUGAGGUAAUGGCUUACCAAGGCGACGACGGGUAGCCGGCCUGAGAGGGUGACCGGCCACACUGGGACUGAGACACGGCCCAGACUCCUACGGGAGGCAGCAGUGGGGAAUAUUGCACAAUGGGCGCAAGCCUGAUGCAGCGACGCCGCGUGAGGGAUGACGGCCUUCGGGUUGUAAACCUCUUUCAGUAGGGAAGAAGCGAAAGUGACGGUACCUGCAGAAGAAGCGCCGGCUAACUACGUGCCAGCAGCCGCGGUAAUACGUAGGGCGCAAGCGUUAUCCGGAAUUAUUGGGCGUAAAGAGCUCGUAGGCGGUUUGUCGCGUCUGCCGUGAAAGUCCGGGGCUCAACUCCGGAUCUGCGGUGGGUACGGGCAGACUAGAGUGAUGUAGGGGAGACUGGAAUUCCUGGUGUAGCGGUGAAAUGCGCAGAUAUCAGGAGGAACACCGAUGGCGAAGGCAGGUCUCUGGGCAUUAACUGACGCUGAGGAGCGAAAGCAUGGGGAGCGAACAGGAUUAGAUACCCUGGUAGUCCAUGCCGUAAACGUUGGGCACUAGGUGUGGGGGACAUUCCACGUUUUCCGCGCCGUAGCUAACGCAUUAAGUGCCCCGCCUGGGGAGUACGGCCGCA